rnacentral:rRNA from 1 species
GACGGAAGGUGCAAGCGUUGCUCGGAAUCACUGGGCGUAAAGCGCACGUAGGCGGAUUGUUAAGUCAGGGGUGAAAUCCUGGAGCUCAACUCCAGAACUGCCUUUGAUACUGGCGAUCUUGAGUCCGGGAGAGGUGAGUGGAACUGCGAGUGUAGAGGUGAAAUUCGUAGAUAUUCGCAAGAACACCAGUGGCGAAGGCGGCUCACUGGCCCGGUACUGACGCUGAUGUGCGAAAGCGUGGGGAGCAAACAGG